GGUGGAGUAUGUGGUUUAAUUCGAUGCAACGCGAAGAACCUUACCUGGUCUUGACAUCUCAAGGAUCUCCUGGAAACAGGAGAGUGCUUUCUUUCGAGAGAACUUGAAGACAGGUGCUGCAUGGCUGUCGUCAGCUCGUGUCGUGAGAUGUUGGGUUAAGUCCCGCAACGAGCGCAACCCUCGCCAUUAGUUGCCAUCAUUUAGUUGGGCACUCUAAUGGGACUGCCGGUGUCAAACCGGAGGAAGGUGGGGAUGACGUCAAGUCCUCAUGGCCUUUAUGACCAGGGCUACACACGUACUACAAUGGCCGAUACAAAGGGCAGCCACAGGGUGACCUGGAGCAAAUCCCAUAAAGUCGGUCUCAGUCCGGAUCGGAGUCUGCAACUCGACUCCGUGAAGUUGGAAUCGCUAGUAAUCGUGGAUCAGCAUGCCACGGUGAAUACGUUCCCGGGCCUUGUACACACCGCCCGUCACACCACGGAAGUUGGUUGUACCAGAAGUAGUUGAGCGAACCUUCGGGGCGCAGACUACCAAGGUAUGGCUGGUAACUGGGGUGAAGUCGUAACAAGGUA
rnacentral:rRNA from 1 species